GACGAACGCUGGCGGCGUGCUUAACACAUGCAAGUCGAACGAAGUGGCGAACGGGUGAGUAACGCGAAAUCAACCUGCCCUUCAGUGGGGGACAACAGUAGGAAACGACUGCUAAUACCGCAUACUGAAGGCGUGCAUUGCGUUUGCUUAGCUAGUUGGAGGGGUAACGGCCAACCAAGGCGAGGAUCAGUAGCCGGGCUGAGAGGAUGAACGGCCAAAUUGGGACUGAGACACGGCCCAGACUCCUACGGGAGGCAGCAGUGGGGAAUCUUCGGCAAUGGACGAAAGCCUGACGGAGCAACGCCGCGUGAGUGAUGACGGCCUUCGGGUGGUAAAGCUCUGUUAAUCGGGACGCGGUACCGGAAUAGAAAGCCACGGCUAACUACGUGCCAGCAGCCGCGGUAAUAC
rnacentral:rRNA from 1 species